rnacentral:rRNA from 1 species
UAGGGAAUCUUCCACAAUGGACGCAAGUCUGAUGGAGCAACGCCGCGUGAGUGAAGAAGGUUUUCGGAUCGUAAAGCUCUGUUGUUGGUGAAGAAGGAUAGAGGCAGUAACUGGUCUUUAUUUGACGGUAAUCAACCAGAAAGUCACGGCUAACUACGUGCCAGCAGCCGCGGUAAUACGUAGGUGGCAAGCGUUGUCCGGAUUUAUUGGGCGUAAAGCGAGCGCAGGCGGAAUGAUAAGUCUGAUGUGAAAGCCCACGGCUCAACCGUGGAACUGCAUCGGAAACUGUCAUUCUUGAGUGCAGAAGAUGAGAGUGGAAUUCCAUGUGUAGCGGUGGAAUGCGUAGAUAUAUGGAAGAACACCAGUGGCGAAGGCGGCUCUCUGGUCUGCAACUGACGCUGAGGCUCGAAAGCAUGGGUAGCGAACAGG